AAUAGAUACCCGGUAGUCCACGCCGUAAACGAUGGAUGCUAGCUGUUUGGAGGUAUCGACCCCUUCAGAAGCGAAGCUAACGCGUUAAGCAUCCCGCCUGAGUAGUACGAGCGCAAGCUUAAAACUCAAAGGAAUAGACGGGGACCCGCACAAGCGGUGGAGCGUGUUCUUUAAUUGGAUGAUAAGCCAAGAACCUUACCCAGGUUUGACAUCCUGCGAAGGACUCCGAAAGGAAUCUGUGCUUUUUUGAACGCAGUGACAGGUGUUGCAUGGCCGUCGUCAGCUCGUGUCGUGAGAUGUUGGGUUAAGUCCCGCAACGAGCGCAACCCUUAUAGUUAGUUGGAUUUUUCUAACUAGACUGCCUCGGUAACGGGGAGGAAGGAGGGAUGAUGUCAGGUCCGUAUUACCCUUACACCUGGGGCUAGAAACGCGCUACAAUGGCCGGUACAAUGGGCAGCCAAAUCGCGAGAUGGAGCUAAUCCCACCAAAGCCGGUCUCAGUUCGGAUUGGAGGCUGAAAUUCGCUCAUGAANCCGGAAUCGCUAGUAACCG
rnacentral:rRNA from 1 species